rnacentral:rRNA from 1 species
AUUCCUACGGGAGGCAGCAGUGGGGAAUAUUGCACAAUGGGCGCAAGCCUGAUGCAGCGACGCCGCGUGAGGGAUGACGGCCUUCGGGUUGUAAACCUCUUUCAGCAGGGAAGAAGCCACAAGUGACGGUACCUGCAGAAGAAGCGCUGGCUAACUACGUGCCAGCAGCCGCGGUAAUACGUAGGGCGCAAGCGUUGUCCGGAAUUAUUGGGCGUAAAGAGCUCGUAGGCGGUUUGUCGCGUCUGCUGUGAAAGCCCGGGGCUCAACCCCGGGUCUGCAGUGGGUACGGGCAGACCAGAGUGCAGUAGGGGAGACUGGAAUUCCUGGUGUAGCGGUGAAAUGCGCAGAUAUCAGGAGGAACACCGAUGGCGAAGGCAGGUCUCUGGGCUGUUACUGACGCUGAGGAGCAAAAGCAUGGGGAGCGAACAGGAUUAGAUACCCUGGUAGUCUAUGCCGUAAACGUUGGGCACUAGGUGUGGGGGACAUUCCACGUUCUCCGCGCCGUAGCUAACGCAUUAAGUGCCCCGCCUGGGGAGUACGGCCGCAAGGCUAAAACUCAAAGGAA